rnacentral:lncRNA from 1 species
ACACACAUAACUGAUAUUUUAUGGAACGCGGUAGUCUUCCUGUAAAAGUAUCACACACAUAACUGAUAUUUUAUGGGUUUGUGUUACUUUAAUUAGGGCUUUACAAUGAUCUCUGUGUGGAAGUUCCAUUGAGACAUAACACUCCCAUUGUGUUUUGAGCAACCAGGUCUACCCAUACCGAACUGGGUACAAGUUGAAACUGGUCGGAGACCGAUCACCAUAUAAACACAGCACCGAAGAGCACGGUCUAGGUAUCUAUCGGUUAAUUUCGGUGGUUGGUGAUUCCGGUAGAACAUAAGACAGAGACCGAUUAUUCAGUUAAACGACUCCUCUAACAUUGCUGCGACAAUCCAAGAAUCUAAUUGCUUCUUCCACUUCUCCAAUUGAAAGGAUAAUAUAAAUGUUUCAACUUUCUUCACACUAUGGGGCUGAAUUAAAUAAAUUUAAACAUUUCUACAUUGUGUUUAAUAUGCAUGCCACCUCCUUGAUCACUAAAUGCAACAAUUACAUUAGGAAAUAAUCUAAAAGCUAAAUAAGCCCUAGAAUACCAAACUCAUCGUAACCAUUUUGGUAAUCGUUAGAGCAUUCUCAUCCAAUCCAUCAAAUUAUACAUACAU